GAGCAGCUAGCAUGGCAGAUGAGGAGGAAGACCCAACCUUUGAGGAGGAAAAUGAAGAAAUUGGAGGAGGAGCAGAAGGUGGCCAGGGGAAGAGAAAGAGUCUUUUCUCGAAAGAAUUGCGCUGUAUGAUGUAUGGGUUUGGGGAUGACCAGAAUCCUUACACAGAGUCCGUGGAUAUUCUCGAAGACCUUGUCAUAGAGUUCAUCACUGAAAUGACUCACAAGGCAAUGUCAAUUGGCAGACAAGGUCGAGUGCAAGUUGAAGAUAUUGUCUUCCUAAUUCGAAAGGAUCCAAGGAAGUUUGCUAGAGUUAAAGACUUACUCACUAUGAAUGAAGAAUUGAAACGGGCUAGAAAAGCUUUUGANGAAGCCAACUAUGGAUCUUGACACUGGUCNUAAUUCCCGGGAUUUUGGUAUUUUCCAUGGAAGCCAUACAUUGAAGUUGUUGUCUGCAGUAAUAUCAUGAUAGCUAGGUAUGCAGGGAAAGAGGUCUUCUGCCCUAGCCUCCCGUUGCCUGCCUUUAUCUGACCAUAUCUNAAUUGCUUACUGGCUUUAAUAACUCCUAAGUUAAAGUAUUGCAAACCAUGCAGUUCCACCUGAAAGGGGGGAAGUAGUAUUUAUUCUUGCAGUAGAUGUGUGUGUUCCAAGCUGUAUACCAUUGAUGCAUAACAUGCAAUCUGAAUGUCCUUUUGAUUUUAUAAAUGGUGAG